UACCCCCACGCCCAAUGGGCGCCGCGGACCCCAGGGCCCGCCCACCUCCCCUAGACUGGCGCCAACCGACUCGACGUGAGGGGGCGGGGCAGCCGUCACCGGGAGCCCGCCCCCCCCGGGCUGUCAGUCAAGAGAGCUUACCUGAAAGAGCUCCCAGGGCUUUUCCGGGUUGCCCCCGCCCGCCUGUCGCCUGCCGUUAGAGGCCGAGGAAGUGCUCUGGGGAUUCCGCAUCUGCCUCCUGAACCCCAGGCUCCUCUCGAGACCCAGGAGAUAUGGAGCUCUUUGAUAUUUAUUGAACAAGAGAUGAAGACCUGGAUCAAUAGUUUACAUUGCAGUAGAGGAAGAACACAUGUGUGAAAAGGACAAUAAAACAGGCUUCUUACUGUGUGGACUUUUGCAUGCAACCCACCGUCUCUGUGCUCAGCUGACUCAAGCAUAAAACAGGAAAACUCAGUAUUACGUAAGUUAAAAUUGAUGAAGUACUUAAAACAGUAAAGAAUAAAUUGGUUAAAUUUUAUAAAAUUCUUAGAAUAAUUCAUAGCUGUGGUACAAUUAAGUACUAUUUAAAUAAAACUAAAAAAAAAUUUCAUGACCCUGUGCUCACUCAGGGUAAGCCACCUGACUAAGGUCACAGAGC